GAAGUGAUAGUUUAAAGGUUAAAAUACUGUCUUGUCAAGUCAGAGAUACGGGUUCGAUUCCCGUUCAUUUCG
rfam:Candidatus Nasuia deltocephalinicola str. NAS-ALF, complete genome.